GUGGCCUUCAGAUGAAGAUGUGGAACUCUCAUCUCCUCCUGCACCGUGCCUGCCUGGACACUGUCGUGCUCCUACCUUGAUAAUAAUGGACUGAAUCUCUGAAUCUAGAGAGGCAAUGAAGAAACGAGAAACCCGAAGACUAGUACAUCUGACUUUCGCAGUGAGCAAACAGCAGGUGGCCGGGCCAACUGAGAAAGGUGAGCAUCACCACAGUAUGUGUCCUCUGACCUGUUCAUCCGACUUCUGGGAAUCAGUCCUAAAGAAAUACCUCCAAAUAUGGGAAGGAUUAUGAGCAGAUAGGCUCCUGGCAGCAUUCCCCCUGACAGCAGAGGAGAGAGAGCUGUGGCUCCACCUGCCUGGCUGGCUGGUGUCCCGGAUGGGCGUGUCCAAGAAGCUCCAUUCAACCUAGGAGCAAGUUCAAAACUGUGUACCCGGUGAUGCGCUAUGGAAGCCGCUCACAUCAAAUACCAGGAUGAGCAUGCAGCUCCAGCUGCACGAGGGAGGCAUUAUGGGAAAUCUUUGUUUCCAUUUUCCCAAUUCUCUGCAAUGUGGUUCUGGUUAAAAGUAUAUUGUAAAUAAAGA